UACGAAGGGGGCUAGCGUUGCUCGGAAUCACUGGGCGUAAAGGGUGCGUAGGCGGGUCUUAAGUCAGGGGUGAAAUCCUGGAGCUCAACUCCAGAACUGCCUUUGAUACUGAGGAUCUUGAGUUCGGGGAGAGGUGAGUGGAACUGCGAGUGUAGAGGUGAAAUUCGUAGAUAUUCGCAAGAACACCAGUGGCGAAGGCGGCUCACUGGCCCGAUACUGACGCUGAGGCACGAAAGCGUGGGGGAGCAAACAGG
rnacentral:rRNA from 1 species